CCAUUUUCACAGUGGACUCCCAGAUUGCUCUCUGCCAUAAGCACAACCAGGAUUAUACCAACAGCUUUCUUUAGUGACCUUAAGUCAGCUGGUGCUGAAGGUAUCAGGGAAAAAUGACUUCCCUGCAAAGCAGAUGUGUUUCUCUCAGCUCUUACAGAGAUACAAAAGCUGUAUGCCACAGAGUAUGGUAGCAAGAGAAAGGAAAGAUGGAAAGGCAGAGGGGAAGGCAAAGGUGAAAGCUCAAGACAUCCUCGCUUCUCCCUGCAUCUUUUCUUUCCUGAACCUUCACUUUCCCCCCACCCCUUUCAGCACUUCAUUAUUCACAAGUCCCACUUGCCCUUUUGUCAUCCUUUGGUACCAUUAUCCUUGAAGAGAUGAGGAAAAUUUAUAUCUGCAGGUCUGCUAAUUUAUGGUCAAAAAUGCUUCUGUACAAAGUUUCUCUAUUUGCACAUUAAUAGAUGUGUAUGCACA